rnacentral:rRNA from 1 species
UGGGGAAUAUUGCACAAUGGGGGAAACCCUGAUGCAGCGACGCCGCGUGAGCGAAGAAGGCUUUCGAGUCGUAAAGCUCUGUCCUAUGAGAAGAUAAUGACGGUAUCAUAGGAGGAAGCCCUGGCUAAAUACGUGCCAGCAGCCGCGGUAAUACGUAUGGGGCGAGCGUUGUCCGGAAUCACUGGGCGUAAAGGGUUCGCAGGCGGAAAUGCAAGUCAGGUGUAAAAGGCAGUAGCUUAACUACUGUAAGCAUUUGAAACUGCAUAUCUUGAGAAGAGUAGAGGUAAGUGGAAUUUUUAGUGUAGCGGUGAAAUGCGUAGAUAUUAAAAAGAAUACCGGUGGCGAAGGCGACUUACUGGGCUCAUUCUGACGCUGAGGAACGAAAGCGUGGGUAGCAAACAGG